rnacentral:rRNA from 1 species
GGUAGCACAAGGGAGCUUGCUCCCUGGGUGACGAGCGGCGGACGGGUGAGUAAUGUCUGGGAAACUGCCUGAUGGAGGGGGAUAACUACGGGAAACGGUAGCUAAUACCGCAUAACGUCGCAAGACCAAAGAGGGGGACCUUCGGGCCUCUUGCCAUCAGAUGUGCCCAGAUGGGAUUAGCUAGUAGGUGGGGUAAUGGCUCACCUAGGCGACGAUCCCUAGCUGGUCUGAGAGGAUGACCAGCCACACUGGAACUGAGACACGGUCCAGACUCCUACGGGAGGCAGCAGUGGGGAAUAUUGCACAAUGGGCGCAAGCCUGAUGCAGCCAUGCCGCGUGUGUGAGGAAGGCCUUCGGGUUGUAAAGCACUUUCAGCGAGGAGGAAGGUGGUGAGCUUAAUACGCUCAUCAAUUGACGUUACUCGCAGAAGAAGCACCGGCUAACUCCGUGCCAGCAGCCGCGGUAAUACGGAGGGUGCAAGCGUUAAUCGGAAUUACUGGGCGUAAAGCGCACGCAGGCGGUUUGUUAAGUCAGAUGUGAAAUCCCCGGGCUCAACCUGGGAACUGCAUUUGAAACUGGCAAGCUAGAGUCUCGUAGAGGGGGGUAGAAUUCCAGGUGUAGCGGUGAAAUGCGUAGAGAUCUGGAGGAAUACCGGUGGCGAAGGCGGCCCCCUGGACGAAGACUGACGCUCAGGUGCGAAAGCGUGGGGA